UGCGCAUGCGCGGCGGCUUCCAACGGGUUCUCCUUCGCGUCUGAAAACACGGUGUUAGCUUAGCUGCAAAACAUUGAGCUGUUUCGGUCAUUUAACCGUGAAAUAUCAGCUCAUUUCUGUGUUUGUAGUUGUAAAGUAUAAACUCGUCAGAGCUGUGAUGGAUUUAGAGAGCGGAACAUACGAGCCCGGGUUUGUAGGGAUCCGAUUCUGUCAGGAGUGUAACAACAUGUUGUACCCUAAAGAGGACAAGGAGAACCGUAUCCUGCUGUACGCUUGCAGAAACUGCGACUACCAGCAGGAGGCCGACAACAGCUGCAUAUACGUGAACAAAAUCACCCACGAAGUGGAUGAGCUCACACAGAUCAUUGCCGAUGUGUCCCAGGAUCCCACGCUGCCCCGGACUGAGGACCAUCCGUGCCCAAAGUGCGGCCACAAGGAGGCGGUGUUCUUCCAGUCUCACAGCAUGAAAGCUGAGGACGCUAUGCGGCUGUACUAUGUGUGCACGGCGCCACACUGUGGACACAGAUGGACAGAGUGAGGAGGAGGACGGUGGAGGAUGAAGGUUCUGCUUUGCUGUGGCUCCUGAUGCUGGAGAAGACGCCACAGAGGGUUCUCCGAGCGAUGCUGUGGAAUAGCGGUCACCAGCGCUGCUCCUGGAGAUCCACCUUCCUGCAGACCUCAGCACUGCUCGACCCACCUGACCGUCUGUAUCACCCUCAGACGUCCGUGGUCAGUUAGACGGGCUGAGCUGGGAUCAGGUUGGAGGUGAAACGUGAAGGACAGUAGAUCUCCAGGAGGAGGACCGGUGACCUCUGACAUAGAGGAACUGUUUUUGGUCCCCUAAAGAACUAUGUUUAAAAAAAACAUUGGAGUGUGAAGAACCUUUUGAAGCUGUUUAACUCAAUAUUUUAAGUUUUUUUGGGAACAAGAUGUUAUUAAAUUAUGAUAGAUAAUAAUAAAAAU